rnacentral:rRNA from 1 species
GACGAACGCUGGCGGCGUGCUUAACACAUGCAAGUCGAACGGUGAAGCGCCUUCCUUUUUGGUGGGUGUGGAUGAGUGGCGAACGGGUGAGUAGCACGUGAGUAACCUGCCCCCUUCUUCUGGAUAACCGCAUGAAAGUGUGGCUAAUACGGGAUAUUCUGGGUCUGUCGCAUGAUGGGUCUGGGAAAGAUAUUGUUUCGGUGGGGGAUGGGCUCGCGGCCUAUCAGCUUGUUGGUGGGGUGAUGGCCUACCAAGGCGGUGACGGGUAGCCGGCCUGAGAGGGUGGACGGUCACACUGGGACUGAGACACGGCCCAGACUCCUACGGGAGGCAGCAGUGGGGAAUAGUGCACAAUGGGCGCAAGCCUGAUGCAGCGACGCCGCGUGAGGGAUGGAGGCCUUCGGGUUGUGAACCUCUUUCGCCAGUGAAGCAGGCCUGCCUCGUUUGUGGGUGGGUUGACGGUAGCUGGAUAAGAAGCGCCGGCUAACUACGUG